rnacentral:rRNA from 1 species
UACGGAGGGGGCUAGCGUUGUUCGGAAUUACUGGGCGUAAAGCGGGUGUAGGCGGAUUGCUAAGUCGGGGGUGAAAGCCCAGGGCUCAACCCUGGAAUUGCCUUCGAUACUGGCAGUCUCGAGUGCAGGAGAGGUGGGCGGAAUUCCGAGUGUAGAGGCGAAAUUCGUCGAUAUUCGGAGGAACACCAGAGGCGAAGGCGGCUCACUGGACUGUUACUGACGCUGAGACCCGAAAGCGUGGGGAGCAAACAGG